rnacentral:rRNA from 1 species
CAAUAGCGUAUAUUAAAGUUGUUGCAGUUAGAACGCUCGUAGUCGGAUUUCGGGGCGUUCCGACCGGUCUGCCGAUGGGUAUGCACUGGCCGGAGUGCCCUUUUUGCCGGAGACCGUGCCUACUCUUAACUGAGCGGGGGCGGGAGACGGCACUUUUACUUUGAAAAAAUCAGAGUGUUUCAAGCAGGCAGCUCGCUCUUGCAUGGAUUAGCAUGGGAUAAUGAAAUAGGACUUUGGUGCUAUUUUGUUGGUUUCGAACACCGAAGUAAUGGUGAGAAGGGACAGUCAGGGGCACUCGUAUUCCGCAGAGAGAGGUGAAAUUCUCAGACCCGCGGAAGACGAACCACUGCGAAAGCAUUUGCCAGGGAUGUUUUCACUGA